rnacentral:rRNA from 1 species
GAGGUUACUGCUAUCGAGGUUCGACUAAGCCAUGCGAGUCGAAUGUAGCAAUACAUGGCGAACUGCUCAGUAACACGUGGACAACCUGCCCUUAGGACGGGGAUAAACCCGGGAAACUGGGUAUAAUACCCGAUAGGUCUCGAUUGCUGGAAUGCAUCGAGAUUUAAAGCUCCGGCGCCUAAGGAUGGGUCUGCGGCCUAUCAGGUAGUAGUGGGUGUAGCGUACCUACUAGCCUACGACGGGUACGGGUUGUGAGGGCAAGAGCCCGGAGAUGGAUUCUGAGACACGAAUCCAGGCCCUACGGGGUGCAGCAGGCGCGAAAACUUUACAAUGCUGGCAACAGCGAUAAGGGAACCUCGAGUGCCAGGUUACAAAUCUGGCUGUCGAGAUGCCUAAAAAGCAUUUCAUAGCAAGGGCCGGGCAAGACCGGUGCCAGCCGCCGCGGUAACACCGGCGGCUCGAGUGGUAACCGUUAUUAUUGGGUCUAAAGGGUCUGUAGCCGGCCGGAUAAGUCUCUUGAGAAAUCUGGCAGCUUAACUGUCAGGCUUUCAGGAGAUACUGUCUGGCUCGAGGCCGGGAGAGGUGAGAGGUACUUCAGGGGUAGGGGUGAAAUCUUGUAAUCCUUGAAGGACCACCAGUGGCGAAGGCGUCUCACCAGAACGGACCUGACGGCAAGGGACGAAAGCUAGGGGCACGAACCGGAUUAGAUACCCGGGUAGUCCUAGCCGUAAACGAUACUCGCUAGGUGUCGGCCACGGUGCGACCGUUGUCGGUGCCGUAGGGAAGCCGUGAAGCGAGCCACCUGGGAAGUACGGCCGCAAGGCUGAAACUUAAAGGAAUUGGCGGGGGAGCACCACAACGGGUGGAGCUUGCGGUUU